rnacentral:rRNA from 1 species
CUACGGGAGGCUGCAGUGGGGAAUAUUGGACAAUGGGGGAAACCCUGAUCCAGCAAUGCCGCGUGUGUGAAGAAGGCCUGCGGGUUGUAAAGCACUUUCGGUUGGGAGGACUGCUUCUAGCACUAAUAUUGUUGGAAGUUGACGUUACCUUCAGAAGAAGCACCGGCUAACUCCGUGCCAGCAGCCGCGGUAAUACGGAGGGUGCAAGCGUGAAUCGGAAUUACUGGGUGUAAAGCGCGCGUAGGCGGCUAGAUCAGUCGGGUGUGAAAGCCCCGGGCUUAACCUAGGAACUGCAUCCGAUACUGUCUAGCUUGAGUACAGGAGAGGAGAGUGGAAUUCCACAUGUAGCGGUGAAAUGCGUAGAUAUGUGGAGGAACACCAAUGGCGAAGGCAGCUCUCUGGCCUGAUACUGACGCUGAGGUGCGAAAGCGUGGGGAGCAAACAGGAUUAGAUACCCUUGUAGUC